CUGUAUUGUGCUAACAGGCAGUACAGAAACAGUCUGGGAGAACUUGGUCCUAUGGCUGGUGGUCUAGAGAGAAAAAUAGAGGGUGCCAGAGAAUGCAUUUGGAAUUGUGAACUCUGGUGGUUUCCAUAAAGGUCAAAAGCAGGAUUCAGGAGCACACACAGCACUGUCAGCAGAGGUAAGUCUCCUUCAGACCGUUCCAGUACUGCUGAAGUUUGGUAGCUGAGAAGUCAGCUCGGCAGCAAGCAGAGAGGAGAGAGCAUCCCAAGAAGAAGAGAGGUGCACUCGGGGAUUCUAGCGCAGAAACAGAGCUUCCAGAAGACUGAUCUUCCACCAAUGGGAGUAAGGAGUGGUGUUGCUGGGGACCGAGCAAGGAGUCGGGGAAGAAGGAGAAGAGACAAUACUUAACACACCACUGUCUUCCUGCCUCUCCUCAACUGCUCCUCGUUGA
rnacentral:lncRNA from 1 species